rnacentral:rRNA from 1 species
GACGUAGGGCGCGAGCGUUGUCCGGAUUUAUUGGGCGUAAAGAGCUCGUAGGCGGCUCGUUGCGUCGGCUGUGAAAACCCGCAGCUCAACUGUGGGCUUGCAGCUGAUACGGGCGGGCUGGAGUUCGGUAGGGGAGACUGGAAUUCCUGGUGUAGCGGUGAAAUGCGCAGAUAUCAGGAGGAACACCGGUGGCGAAGGCGGGUCUCUGGGCCGAUACUGACGCUGAGGAGCGAAAGCGUGGGGAGCAAACAGG